GACGAACGCUGGCGGCGUGCCUAAUACAUGCAAGUAGAACGCUGAAGGAGGAGCUUGCUCUUCUGGAUGAGUUGCGAACGGGUGAGUAACGCGUAGGUAACCUGCCUGGUAGCGGGGGAUAACUAUUGGAAACGAUAGCUAAUACCGCAUAACAGUAGAUGUUGCAUGACAUUUACUUAAAAGGUGCAAUUGCAUCACUACCAGAUGGACCUGCGUUGUAUUAGCUAGUUGGUGGGGUAACGGCUCACCAAGGCGACGAUACAUAGCCGACCUGAGAGGGUGAUCGGCCACACUGGGACUGAGACACGGCCCAGACUCCUACGGGAGGCAGCAGUAGGGAAUCUACGGCAAUGGACGGAAGUCUGACCGAGCAACGCCGCGUGAGUGAAGAAGGGUUUCGGAUCGUAAAGCUCUGUUGUAAGAGAAGAACGAGUGUGAGAGUGGAAAGUUCACACUGUGACGGUAUCUUACCAGAAAGGGACGGCUAACUACGUG
rnacentral:rRNA from 1 species